CACGUAGGGUGCGAGCGUUGUCCGGAAUUAUUGGGCGUAAAGAGCUCGUAGGCGGUGUGUCGCGUCGGCCGUGAAAACCUGCAGCUUAACUGUGGGCUUGCGGUCGAUACGGGCAUCACUGGAGUUCGGCAGGGGAGACUGGAAUUCCUGGUGUAGCGGUGAAAUGCGCAGAUAUCGUAAGGAAGACCAGUGGCGAAGGCGGGUCUCUGGACAGUUCCUGACGCUG
rnacentral:rRNA from 1 species